GGACAACCUGCCCUCGGGUGGGGGAUAACCCCGGGAAACUGGGGCUAAUCCCCCAUAGGGGAUGGGUACUGGAAUGUCCCAUCUCCGAAAGCGCUUAGCGCCCGAGGAUGGGUCUGCGGCGGAUUAGGUUGUUGGUGGGGUAACGGCCCACCAAGCCGAAGAUCCGUACGGGCCAUGAGAGUGGGAGCCCGGAGAUGGACCCUGAGACACGGGUCCAGGCCCUACGGGGCGCAGCAGGCGCGAAACCUCCGCAAUGCGGGAAACCGCGACGGGGUCAGCCGGAGUGCUCGCGCAUCGCGCGGGCUGUCGGGGUGCCUAAAAAGCACCCCAUAGCAAGGGCCGGGCAAGGCCGGUGGCAGCCGCCGCGGUAAUACCGGCGGCCCGAGUGGCGGCCACUUUUAUUGGGCCUAAAGCGUCCGUAGCCGGGCUGGUAAGUCCUCCGGGAAAUCUGGUCGCUUAACGAUCAGACUGCCGGAGGAUACUGCCAGCCUAGGGACCGGGAGAGGCCGGGGGUAUUCCCGGGGUAGGGGUGAAAUCCUGUAAUCCCGGGAGGACCACCUGUGGCGAAGGCGCCCGGCUGGAACGGGUCCGACGGUGAGGGACGAAGGCCAGGGGAGCGAACCGGAUUAGAUAUCCCGGGUAGUCCUGGCUGUAAACGAUGCGGACUAGGUGUCACCGAAGCUACGAGCUUCGGUGGUGCCGGAGGGAAGCCGUUA
rnacentral:rRNA from 1 species